GCUCAUGAUGCGUCUUUUUGCAAAUUGUUAGCCCUAACUCUUUAGCGAAUUUUUCUUCAGUAUGCCACGAAAAAAGACGAUUUCUUUGACGAGGAACUGCCCCCAACGCAGCGAAGCUGAAGCUGACCUCUUGAGUGAAGAACCACCUGAAUCAUCCCAAAAAAUUCAUAAAGUACACCAUGAUAAAGACGAUGACAAUGACCUUUCUGUUGUUGCGGUGGAAACCAUAACUCCAGAACCAGGACAAGAUGAUGGGUCUUCCUCUAUGGUGGAAAAAGACAAGCUGAUGCUCAUGGCCCAGACAAUACAAACACUUAAACAGGAACGAGAUUUUCUCCGCCAAACUGUCCUAAAAUUGUCAAACAGAGGGGCAAAAAAAGUAAAGAAAGUCUUGGACACAAGCACUGAAUGCAGCACCAGUAACACUGAUGAGGAGUCCAUGACUUCUUCCUCCUCUUCAGAUUCACCUGAUAGUGAUAUUCCUCGGAAGAAGAGAAAGAGUCAUAAGAAGACAAAGAGGGCCAGCAGGUCAAAAUCUACCAAGCACAGCACACGUGCUUUUAUCUUUCUACAGCAACAACCCCUGAUGACGUACUAAGGCGGUACAACAAAGUUUUCAAUGCCUAUAAAAAAGAAGGGAGCAUUAGUAAAGCAUGUGCCAAAGUUGGGGUUGACCGUAAUACUCUCGCAUUAACAGCUGUUGUGGCUGAAAUUCAGCUUGUUGAUGCUGAGUUUUACAGAAGCAUCCCUAAAUUCAGAACCGAGGAGAAACUUU
rnacentral:lncRNA from 1 species